AUGACUGGUGAAGUAAGAACAACACAAUUUCCAGAACCCCCUCUGAAUUUCCUCCUCUCCUCGCUACUUCCUGCAUGAGACUGAACAUCGCCUGACACAGAGAGUGCGAUAUUCUCCCUCAGGAGAAACACUUUUUUAUUCUCCUACAUCAGCAUAGAACAAGUAACUGGUCUCACACGUAUAAACUGGAUGGGCUGGUGAAGCACAUGGAUCCCAAGGCCACUUCCGCUGACAUCCUGAAAUGAUGGUCAAAUGUAACUUCCUCCUGGAAGCUCCUCCUUGGAUCUGUACAAGCUGGAUCCCAGAUCUCUUCAGCACCCUGACUGAUAUCGCAUCUCAGGUGAUGUCUCAGGCAGACCACGAGAGAGACCAACCGACUAGGUAUCCACCUUCUGCUUGCUCUGUAUUAUUUCAAGUUUGUUUAGGCAAUAGAGAUCCAAGUUUGAAAAAACAUCUCUAAACCCUAUCUCUCUUUUCCUGCCUCUUACAUCUUGGGGUGAUCACAUGACACAGUUCAGCUCAGUGAGCCAGUGGAAGACAAAUGCUAUAAAGUGAUUGCCAGUAAAUAAAAUUCAGCUCCCCAUUGCCAUCACAAUUGGACUGUUUUUUUGCAUAUAAUACUAGCUAAUAAAAUACCGAAGCUUGGUUUGCAAAACCUAAGUUUUCAUAAUAAAGUAAAUCAAUUUCAGAAAGAGUUGAAGAUGCUCUUUCCCCGGCAGCAAUAAAUCAACAGAUUUUGUUGGGUGUUAGAAAAUGGCUCAAGGAAUUGAAUUUGAUACUGUGCAAAACUGAGA